UUUGCAUCUGAGAUUGCAUAAUAUUGGAGGAACAUGCUUAAUUGGCCUGUGCAUUUGGCAGAUAUAGUUGUGUUUGUUCUGCUACUAGCAUCCUGUACUGUUUAGUUGGUAUUUGGUAUUAUAUUUUUUCUUCUAGCCCAGAAUUAUUCAUUUUAGAUCUUGUUGCAUGAUGUGUCAUGUAUAUGACUAGUACUACUAUUUCUGCAUGCUUAUAUGUUUGUGCAUUUACUAGCUUAGCUACCACAGUAGUGUUCUGUUGAAAUUUGAGGCAUAUCUUUGUUCAUAAGUGUCUUUGUUCCCAUGCAGUGUGCUUUGAAACGUAGGGCGAAUGUUGUGGAGGAGUAGGGCGAAUCGGACAUUGUCUCGCUUGUGCCGCUGUGAUAACAUGCUGAAUGUUGUAAAUGACUGUGUAUGAAUCUUCUGUACGUGCAGAUUAUCAGGCAUUAUUUAAUGCUGCUGAGGGUGUAACAGAGUGUUUCAACCAACAGCAGAAAAAUCAGUUUGAUGUAUGGAUGCUUCAUGCGGUGCUAGCUAAUGAUCUCUGUACUGAUGACAGUUUUGUGGUAAGUGUACUGUGGUAAAAUGCAGAUGUUGAUUAUUUCCUCGACCAUGGUUGUGAUGUGCU